GUAUUAGUUAACUGUCAAAUGAAAUUAGAUCAACGGUAGACUUUUUUGUCGAUGGGUAUGGCUGCCAUGUUUGGAUUUAUGACAUUUGAAAGGGGAUCCUAAGGCAGAGAGUAGUUUUUUCUGUACGAUUUUGAUUCUUCUACUCGACGCAAGAUGGAGUUAGCUGCCAAAUUCCGAUCUUGGCGUUAUAAAAAUAUACCGCAAGAACCAUGACAAUGACAUGCAGUUGCGUCGAUGUAGAUCUAUCAUAAAAACGUACAUGUGACAAUUGUCCAGGAUUUAAAAAAAUCUUGACAAUUAAUAAAUGUCAAAAAGAAAACUGAUUUAUUAUAAAAAUACAAAUUAUAUAUAAAGUUUGAUUUUAAAACCAAUGAUCGUGGGUCCUAACCCCGGCUCUUAACAAUGAACAUCUUGUAACUUGUGUGCAAAAUAUCAUUUAACUUUUACCAAUUACUUUUCGGUUAAAUAAAAUAUCACGAGGAAGAAGUAGCCCCAAUAAGGUGUUAUCAAGAAAAAAGGUCUUAACAGAUUUAUGAAUAGGCAUUGGCAGAAAAACAGGCGUCCGACCACGCAUAAUGGAGGAUUCUAUUUCUUUUAUCAUGUAGCUAUAUCUAUAUGACCUCUGCCGCCUACUUUUUCACCCGUUGGCGCCUGUGCCUAAAUCCUUCUAAGACCGAAGUUUGCUGUUUCCACCUGUCCAAUAAGCUGGCACAUAAGACCCUCAGAGUUAGAUUCCGGGGUACAGCCUUACAACAUAACUAUUCCCCAAAGUAUCUCGGUGUUACACUGGACAGAAGCCUGACAUACCGAUUGCACAUAGAGAAGCUAAAAAGUAAAAUAAGGACCAGGAUAUUUUAAUUACGAUACAUAAAUAACUACUAAAACAUGUUUUCUGCAAGAAAUUAGUUAUCUUAUUAUAUUAUAAAAUAUUUAUUAUCCA